UGGGGAAUAUUGGACAAUGGGGGCAACCCUGAUCCAGCAAUGCCGCGUGUGUGAAGAAGGCCUUCGGGUUGUAAAGCACUUUUAUCCGGAACGAAACGCGCUUGGUGAAUAGCCAGGCGAACUGACGGUACCGGAGGAAUAAGCACCGGCUAACUUCGUGCCAGCAGCCGCGGUAAUACGAAGGGUGCAAGCGUUACUCGGAAUUACUGGGCGUAAAGCGUGUGCAGGUGGUUCGUUAAGUCUGCUGUGAAAUCCCCGGGCUCAACCUGGGAAUGGCAGUGGAUACUGGCGAGCUAGAGUGCGGUAGAGGGUAGUGGAAUUCCCGGUGUAGCGGUGAAAUGCGUAGAGAUCGGGAGGAACACCAGUGGCGAAGGCGGCUACCUGGACCAGCACUGACACUCAUACACGAAAGCGUGGGGAGCAAACAGGAUUAGAUACCCCCGUAGUCC
rnacentral:rRNA from 1 species